rnacentral:lncRNA from 1 species
GGAAUCAACAAAUAAGCAACUGAAUGAAAGAAUGAUAUUAUUUGAUAAUUGAAGUUGAGAUUUUUUGCUGAUGGGCUGUGCUGCCAGCUGAUCUAUUUCCAAAAGCACUUGCUGACAGAUAAUUGACCAUCUGAUCACUGAUCCACAUAGCUGUGGAACUGAAUGGAAAAAAAGGGAAUAUGUCACUUUGGCCUGGAAAUUGAAAUACUAUAAAAAAGAAGAAGAAGAAAGACAAAAAAUAAAUAAAUAAAAAUAAAAAUAAAAACAC